rnacentral:lncRNA from 1 species
AUCCUAUUAAAAAAAACCUCCAACUAAAUGCUUUAAUUCUGAACGGUGAUUGAACUUUCCAAAUCUUGACAAAUGCUUCUAAUUUAUCUUCCUCAUGGUCUUCACCUUCCUCCUCUACUGAAAACAAUUCAAAAAAAUAUUUCACUGUAUACCCUUAUGACGGUUUAAGCUCCCACAUUAUUCUAUCAUCUGAUUCUGACAUAAGAACCACCA